GUGCUCGCUUCAGCAGCAUGUAUACUAAAAUUGGAAUGCUACAGAGAAGAUUAGCAUUUGUGGCAAGGAUGACACACAGAUUCGUGAAGCAUUCCAUGCCUUU